rnacentral:rRNA from 1 species
GAUGAACGCUGGCGGCGUGCCUAAUACAUGCAAGUCGAGCGAACAGACGAGGAGCUUGCUCCUCUGACGUUAGCGGCGGACGUGUGAGUAACACGUGUAUAACCUACCUAUAAGACUGGGAUAACUUCGGGAAACCGGAUCUAAUACCGGAUAAUAUAUUGAACCGCAUGGUUCAAUGGUGAAAUACGGUUUUGCUGGCACUUAUAGAUGGAUCCGCGCCGCAUUAGCUAGUUGGUAAGGUAACGGCUUACCAAGGCAACGAUGCGUAGCCGACCUGAGAGGGUGAUAGGCCACACGGGAACUGAGACACGGUCCAGACUCCUACGGGAGGCAGCAGUAGGGAAUCUUCCGCAAUGGGCGAAAGCCUGACGGAGCAACGCCGCGUGAGUGAUGAAGGUCUUCGGAUCGUAAAAAUCUGUUAUUAGGGAAGAACAAAUGUGUAAGUAAAUAUGCACGUCUUGACGGUACCUAAUCAGAAAGCCACGGCUAACUACGUG